AGGAGCUGCAUUGUGGCUAGAAGGAAAAAAACUGCUCCCUUUUCUCUGUCUGGGUUGCCCAGGGAUCUGGAAAGCUAUUCCUUCACCCCCACUCUGUCCUUCUUGGGGCUGUGAUCACCCUCUUGUCUGCUGUCCUGGCAGGAACCAUGCUGAUGCUGGCCAUCCUGCUGCCGCUGGGCUUCUUUCUGCUCCUUGCCACCGUCUUCGCCUGCAUCUGGAAGAGCCACCCUUCUCUCUGCAGGAAACUGGGAUCGCUGCUCAAGAGGCGUCCACAGGGAGAGGGACCCAAUCCUGUAGCUGGAAGCUGGGAGCCUCCGAAGGCCCAUCCACAUUUCCCUGACCUGGUAAAGCCACUGCUACCCAUCUCUGGAGAUGUUUCCCCAGUAUCCACUGGGCUCCCCGCAGCCCCAGUUUUGGAGGCAGGGGUGCCGGAACAGCAGAGUCCUCUGGACCUGACCAGGGAGCCGCAGUUGGAAACCGGGGAGCAGAGCCAGGUGGCCCACGGUACCAAUGGCAUUCAUGUCACUGGCGGGUCUAUGACCAUCACUGGCAACAUCUACAUCUACAAUGGACCAGUACU
rnacentral:sRNA from 1 species